UUUUUGCAGUUAGUAAUUUAAAUAAUGAAUGGUUCAGUUAGAUGAUCAUAAUUACUGCUUGAUUAAUCGUGAACUUGUAGAAGUUAAUAUUUUCUAUUAUGUAUGUAAUUGGAGUUUUAUGGAUCGUCGGUAUUUGGAUUUGUACAUUGUGGUUUUCUACCCCUCGAGGUAGUAAGCUUUCAAAAAUGGAGUUUUCGAGUGGGAAACAAUUUUAAAAGAUUUUCAAAUGAUUUUCAUGGAUGAACAAAUAGAGUUUAAAAAUAAAGCUUCCGGGUGGGGAGUACUUUUCAAUAGGAUGACUAUUGUAUUGUGCAUCACAUCAUCCAGUGCCUAAGAAGUGUUUAAAGACAUACAUCAUCUUUAAGGAUCGCUAGCUGUAUGGAAUUGCAUCGUAUGAAUUAUUUAUGGAUUGGUAAAUGUAGAUUGUGAGUUGUGAUCCUGUUGUCGUCAUUGUUGGGUACGCCGUACAAAUAUAAAGGAGACUCUGUCCGUGUGGGCAGAGAAACUUUGUAUUUGUGACGGGUCUGUACGUCACGUGGGCCAGGUUGAAUUAAAAAAAAAAAGGCAUAUUUUCCGCAAUUCUGAUUUCAAAAAUAGUAUUCAUUCUGCUUUCUAAAAUAAUAUU
rnacentral:lncRNA from 1 species